rnacentral:rRNA from 1 species
UACGUAGGGGGCAAGCGUUGUCCGGAAUUAUUGGGCGUAAAGAGCGUGUAGGCGGUCCGGUAAGUCAGCUGUGAAAGUCCAGGGCUCAACCCUUGAAUGCCGGUUGAUACUGUCGGGCUAGAGUCCGGAAGAGGCGAGUGGAAUUCCUGGUGUAGCGGUGAAAUGCGCAGAUAUCAGGAGGAACACCCGUGGCGAAAGCGGCUCUCUGGGACGGUACUGACGCUGAGACGCGAAAGCGUGGGGAGCAAACAGG